GAGAGCUGACAGAGUGACACUAUAUUUUUCCUCCUCUUCUCCACAGCCUGUAUUAUUCCAGCUUUCAUCCCUUGAGGGCUGUCCAGAUGAUGAGAGUGGGCAAAUUGCAGCAUACUCAAGACAUGUUUCCUCAAGCACUGGAGACCUUGAAGCAGGCUUAUAACAUUAUGAAAGUAACCCAUGGAGCAGAUCACAGCCUGGUGCAAGACCUGAUGAAACUUAAGGAACAGUGUGAGGCUGACAUGCGAGCACAGUGAGGAUGAUCUCAGGCUGGAAAACUAACAUUCAGGGGGAAAGGAAAGCACAUCUUUUUUGUAUUGACAUUCUAUGACCUGAGCCAAAGUCCUCUGAACUCAUUGGAAUGACUCCCAUUGAGUUUGGUAGGCUUUGGAUCAGGCCCUCUUUCCUUUGCUAAAAUGUUUAAUGUUUAUUAGCUUUGCUGUUCUGUAGUGUAAUUUUCCUCACUGAAUUCAAAUGUGGAGGAAUACAGACCAUUUUCAGAAGGAGUCUGCUCUCUGGAAGCAACAUAGCAAAUAAGUCUUAGCAAUUGAUGUUAAAGUUACAUGUUGGUAAUAAAAAACAUACCUGUAUGCAGAA